CCGGCACGGGUGAGUAACGCGUAUGCAACUUGCCUAUCAGGAGGGGAUAACCCGGCGAAAGUCGGACUAAUACCGCAUGAAGCAGGGGCCCCGCAUGGGGAUAUUUGCUAAAGAUUCAUCGCUGAUAGAUAGGCAUGCGUUCCAUUAGGCAGUUGGCGGGGUAACGGCCCACCAAACCGACGAUGGAUAGGGGUUCUGAGAGGAAGGUCCCCCACAUUGGAACUGAGACACGGUCCAA
rnacentral:rRNA from 1 species